UUAAAACGAGAGUUUGAUCCUGGCUCAGAAUCAACGCUGGCGGCAUGCCUCAGACAUGCAAGUCGAACGCGAAAGUCCUUCGGGAUGAGUAGAGUGGCGCACGGGUGAGUAACACGUGGGUAAUCUACCUCAAAGUGGGGAAUAGCCCGGGGAAACCCGGAUUAAUACCGCAUAAGACAUUAGAAUCACAUGGUUUAGAUGUUAAAGCUUUGGCGGUUUUAGAUGGGCAUGCGUCCGAUUAGCUAGUUGGAGAGGUAACGGCUCACCAAGGCGACGAUCGGUAGGGGUUCUGAGAGGAAGAUCCCCCACACUGGCACUGAGAUACGGGCCAGACUCCUACGGGAGGCUGCAGUAGGGAAUAUUGGGCAAU
rnacentral:rRNA from 1 species